GAGUUUGAUCCUGGCUCAGGAUGAACGCUAGCGGCAGGCCUAACACAUGCAAGUCGAGGGGUAGAAGGAGCUUGCUCCUUUGAGACCGGCGCACGGGUGCGUAACGCGUAUGCAAUCUGCCUUGUACUGAGGGAUAGCCCAGAGAAAUUUGGAUUAAUACCUCAUAGUAUAUAACCUUCGCAUGUUGGUUAUAUUAAAGUUCCAACGGUACAAGAUGAGCAUGCGUCCCAUUAGUUAGUUGGUAAGGUAACGGCUUACCAAGACGAUGAUGGGUAGGGGUCCUGAGAGGGAGAUCCCCCACACUGGUACUGAGACACGGACCAGACUCCUACGGGAGGCAGCAGUGAGGAAUAUUGGUCAAUGGGCGCAAGCCUGAACCAGCCAUGCCGCGUGCAGGAUGAAGCAUCUAUGGUGUGUAAACUGCUUUUAUACGGGAAGAAACACUCCUACGUGUAGGAACUUGACGGUACCGUAAGAAUAAGGAUCGGCUAACUCCGUGCCAGCCGCCGCGGUAA
rnacentral:rRNA from 1 species